rnacentral:rRNA from 1 species
CGCAAGUCAGACGACACAUGGCGUUUCUGCAUCGACUACCGUGCCCUUAAUGUUGUCACCCUUAAGGACAAGUUCCCUAUUCCGGUGGUCGACGAGCUCCUCGAUGAGCUCCACGGGGCGCGCUUCUUCACCAAACUUGACCUCCGGUCGGGGUACCACCAGGUGCGCAUGCACCCGGAUGACAUUGCCAAGACGGCGUUUCGGACUCAUCACGGCCACUUCGAGUUCUUGGUGAUGCCCUUUGGCCUCACCAAUGCCCCGGCGACCUUCCAGGCUUUGAUGAACGACGUCCUCAUUCCCUACUUACACCGGUUUGUGCUCGUUUUCUUUGAUGAUAUUCUAAUCUACAGUGCGUCUUGGGCCGAGCAUCUCCAGCACGUCGCUAUCGUCUUCAACGAGCUUCGAGCGCACCACCUCCACCUUAAGCGCUCGAAGUGCUCGUUCGGGACGCCUUCGGUGGCCUACUUGGGCCACGCCAUCUCGGCCGACGGGGUGGCUAUGGACACCGACAAGGUGGCAGCCGUCUCCGCAUGGCCGACGCCUCACUCGCCGCAGGCUCUCCGCGGGUUCCUCGGCCUCGCCGGCUACUACCGGAAAUUUAUCCGGGAGUUCGGGCUUAUCGCGGCGCCCCUCACGCGGUUGCUUCGCCGCGACGCUUUCGCCUGGGACGACGAGGCGACAACGGCGUUCGAGGCCCUCAAGGGGGCCCUCACG